rnacentral:rRNA from 1 species
AGUCGAAUGGGUUUAGACCCAUGGCAGACGAGGUAGUAACGAGUAGGAACGUCCCCGGAAGUCGGGCAUAACCAGUCGAAAGAUUGGAUAAUUCCCGAUGGUCUCGCGAGAGUAAAGAUUUAUCGCUUCCGGAGCGGCCUGCUUUGUAUCACGCUAGUUGGUUAGGUAAUGGCUGACCAAGGCUAUGACGCAUAGGGGACCUGAGAGGGUGACCCCCACCGAUGAAACUGAGACACGGUUCAUACCCCUACGGGGGGCUGCAGCCGAGAAUAUUCGACAAUGGGCGAAAGCCUGAUCGAGCGAUACCGCGUGGUGGAUGAAGUGCUUCGGCACGUAAACACCUUUUAUGGAGGAGGAAGUAAUUGACGUUACUCCAUGAAUAAGGGGCUCCUAACUCUGUGCCAGCAGGAGCGGUAAUACAGAGGCCCCAAGCAUUACCCGGAAUCACUGGGCGUAAAGCGUGUGUAGGUGGUCAUAUUAGUCUCCCGUUAAAACCCUCGGCUCAACCGGGGAGGUGCGGGAGAAACGGUAUGACUAGAAGGCGUCAGAGGUACAUGGAACUCUAAGUGUAGGGGUGAAAUCCGUUGAUAUUUAGGGGAACACCGAAAGCGAAGGCAAUGUACUGGGGCGUUCUUGACACUGAAACACGAAAGCGUGGGUAGCGAACGGGAUUAGAUACCCCGGUAGUCCACGCCCUAAACUAUGUCAACUGGCUUUUCGGAGUAUCGACCCUCUGGGAGGCGAAGCUAACGCGUUAAGUUGACCGCCUGGGUAGUACGGCCGCAAGGCUAAAACUCAAAGGAAUAGAC